CAGCUCUGUCUUCUCAUGACACCCAGGGUUUGAUGCCACCAAACCCAGGCAUGGAACUUUUCUUACAAACAGCGCUGCUGGGAGAAUUUGAAAGCUCACCUGUUGGUACUUUUGAUUCAGUUAGAGGCAGUGAAGGACUGGCAUGUCAUGAUGGUUAUAAUAAGGAUUAUCAGUAGGAUUGUUGAAAACUUACCUAAACUGUGUCCUGAUAUUGCUUCAUCAGCAGUCAUUUGGUGUACCUGGGCAGCCUGCAGGUAACAUGAACUGACACACCAGCCAUUCCUGUGAGCAUAUGCACUAGAAAAAAGCUGCAAACUCAGAAGCAAAUGCAAGUUCUUGCUCUGUCUCCCUAGCAGCCCUUGUGAUCCACAGUCUUCCAGACAAAUUCUGGUUCCUCUUUUCAUGGGUGCCUUCAAUAAGACUCCUCAGAGUAUGAAAAUCCUACUCAUUUGGGUUUUCAUUCAACAAUAUGCACUUGUACCAGGAAGCCCCCCACAUUUCAAUGAUUGUCCCUGAUAAAUGUAUGCACCAAAUUACUGCCGCUACCUCUCCCUGCAUCUUGCUUUGGGCUUCAGACAUGGACCAGCUAUUGAAUAUUUUAGGAAAUUUGAGUCCUAAACUCAUCUACUUUGAUUUCUGUUGUUGAACCUGUACUCCCCAUGCAUUUGUGGGUGUUCAUUUUAAAGAUGUUAAUUUGGCAAAGUCACAAGAACAAUGAACAUCCAGACUUUGGAAUUCUGAGACAAUAUUUCUAUUUGACCCAUCUUAUUUUCAUGGUUUUGUAUACAGGGAAUGCCAUAUGGAGAUAUAUGGAGAUAGAAGUAAAGAAGACUACAAAGGAAGAGGGUGUGUGUACACAUUUUAAAAAGAAUGUAGACAUAUUGGAUCACAAUUUUGUCUACAUUAAAUUGAAUAGAUUAUUUUCCUAUCUCUUGAGACCUGGUGGGAGAUGCUUCCCAUGCAGAUCCUGUCUUUUUUGCUUGCCUAUUCAUCAUGGAAAUGAUUGACUUUUUUAUUUGUUAAAAUUCAUGAACCAUUUCAUUAGGAUAUGCGCAGGCAUUUGCAGAAUGGUUUUCAUUAAAUGUAAUGAUAUACAGAAAUUACUUUGAAGAUGAGAGUAAUCCCUUUGUGAGUGUAUUAUGUAGAUUUUCAAUGAAUUCUGCCUUGUAUUUGAGAGGAAGAGUAGGAAAACUUUGCUUCACUUAUUGUUUCUUCCUUUUCUUUUUUUAAAACUUUAUGUUUUAUAGAAGUAGACAUACAAUGUGGUGAUAAUUCUUGUACUACAGGGACUCAUUUAUACAUAUACAUAUGUCCACUCUUUUUCAGAUUAUUUCUCAGGUUAUCACAGAUUAUUGAGAAGAGUUCCCUGUGCUAUACAGCAGGUCCCUACAAACCAUCCAUUCCUAUAUCAGUGGCAAAGCCCACAUCCAUCCCUCUCUUGCACCUUUCUCAUUGUUAACCCUAAGUUUCUUUAGAUUAUUGCAUUUCUAAGGCUUAGAUCAGUGGCAGUGUGAUGGAGGGAGAAUGUGCCUGAAACCAACAUUGUGAAGACAUCUUUAAAAUGUCACAUGGUGGAGUCAAUUUGGGAGAAGAAGCUGCCUUCUGGGCAGUGUAUAGACUGGUCAGCAAAGCGUGUGCUCUAAGUUUCACAGAAAACUACUGCCAGUUAUGUAACUGCAACAUUAAUUAUAUCUCCUUUAAAUGAACAACCUUCCAAGGAAGCUGACCCACCAGUGGCAGGGUCCUUUCUCACUUUCUCUUAACAGCGACUGGGAUGGUUUGUCAUGAGUCCUGGGUUCUGGACCAGGGGAUCCCCUAGAUGGAGAAGAAGUUCACCAGUUAGAGGCAGUAAACUUUUCAUUUGCAAAGUUUCUUGUCUAGAUGGUCCCCAAUUUUUCACAGCCCUUUUUGUCUUUUGAAACAUCUUGACUGGAUUAGGAGGAAAGUGCCUUCAGUGGUGCUCAUUGCUCUGAUGAGAUUUGGUUGAAGAUUGUGCUGCCAUUUAGCAUUGAUGUAAAGAUAUAUGAUAAUGUGUCCUUUUCUAUAGUUAUUGUUUUAUGUUCACUUAUACCACGAAGUAGCUGAUGCAUAUUUAUAGAAAAGAGUGUCUAUUUGGUAUUAUGUACACAGGGAAUAGGUUGAUGUUCACAGUUGAUAAAAGGACUG
rnacentral:lncRNA from 1 species